UACGGGGGGGGCAAGCGUUGUUCGGAAUUACUGGGCGUAAAGGGCUCGUAGGCGGCCAACUAAGUCAGACGUGAAAUCCCUCGGCUUAACCGGGGAACUGCGUCUGAUACUGGAUGGCUUGAGUUCGGGAGAGGGAUGCGGAAUUCCAGGUGUAGCGGUGAAAUGCGUAGAUAUCUGGAGGAACACCGGUGGCGAAGGCGGCGUUCUGGACUGUUUCUGACACUGAAAAACGAAAGCCAGGGGAGCAAACGGG
rnacentral:rRNA from 1 species